rnacentral:rRNA from 1 species
GACCGAACCGACUAAUGUUGAAAAAUUAGCGGAUGACUUGUGGCUGGGGGUGAAAGGCCAAUCAAACCGGGAGAUAGCUGGUUCUCCCCGAAAGCUAUUUAGGUAGCGCCUCGUGAACUCAUCUUCGGGGGUAGAGCACUGUUUCGACUAGGGGGUCAUCCCGACUUACCAACUCGAUGCAAACUACGAAUACCGAAGAAUGUUAUCACGGGAGACACACGGCGGGUGCUAACGUUCGUCGUGAAGAGGGAAACAACCCAGACCGCCAGCUAAGGUCCCAAAGUCAUAGUUAAGUGGGAAACGAAGUGGGAAGGCUCAGACAGCCAGGAUGUUGGCUUAGAAGCAGCCAUCAUUUAAAGAAAGCGUAAUAGCUCACUGGUCGAGUCGGCCUGCGCGGAAGAUGUAACGGGGCUAAACUAUGCACCGAAGCUGCGGCAGCGAUAUGUAAAUAUUGUUGGGUAGGGGAGCGUUCUGUAAGCCUGUGAAGGUGUACUGUGAGGUAUGCUGGAGGUAUCAGAAGUGCGAAUGCUGACAUAAGUAACGAUAAUGCGGGUGAAAAACCCGCACGCCGGAAGACCAAGGGUUCCUGUCCAACGUUAAUCGGGGCAGGG